CAUUUUGCUCUUUAUUGAUAAUGUGUGUUCUUAUUUUGAAUAUUUAUCAUUAAACAUUGUAAUAACACAAAUCUGUGUGAAUUUUUGUGUGUCCAAGCUUCCUUCUUUAGUACCAAGUGGUCGCUUCCACUUUACUCGUCCAUUUCUUGUGGAUUUCAGUUUCUAAUUCCGGAUGGGCUUGAAAAUCAGAACACUAUUCAGCUUAAGCUUUGAGUGAUACAGUAGUUUAUAAAUUCCUAAACGUGGUUCCAACAAGUGUAUUAUGUAGCUUUAGCUCAUACUAAAGCUGUAAAGUAUUUCAGAUACCUAGUCCAUGAAUUUUCUAAUAAUUUAGGGGAGGUUCCCAAACUGAGGUAGUAUUAAAAUAUUGAGGAAAUCAAAAAUAAUAUUUGAGUCAUUAAAAUCAAAGUAAUGAGCAAUCAGAGAGAUGAUUUAAGUCAUUUUAGGGAAAAGUUUCCCUUAUUACAGAGGAGCAUGGUAAAUCAAUGCAUGAGAGACUAAAUAAUUAUUUUAGAUGUGUUGUGCAAUGUCCAGCAGAAUUUAAAUCACAGAAAGGUUUACAUUUGAACAGUGAAAGAUACCUGCAGUAUUCAUAGAUACCUGCGAAUAGUUAGGCAAAUAUGUUUUCAAAUAAAAUACAAAGUUUACACUUGUUUUGCCUAACACGGUUGUACAGGCCAAUGAUUAAAUGCACCAACUUUGGAAUCAAGAUUUCCUGGAUUCAAAUUCAAGCUCCACCAUUGGCAAAUUAUUUAACCUACAUGUGCCUCAGUUCCCUCAUCUAUAUGUGGAGGCAAUAGUUACACUCUCUUAUAAUGUUUUUGUUAGCAUUGUCAGAAGAUAGCUCAUGUGGAGCAUUUUAGAAGAAUACUUAUGUUUAACAGCCAACAGGUUUGCUUAUUAAACUGUAGAGAAAAAUUAAAAAGAAAAAUCAAGAAGUUCUUCACUAGUUUAAUUUUUCUACAAAUGAUAAAAUGUUUCUGAUUAUAUAUGCUAUGAAUUUGUUUAAUGUCUUGUUGAGGCAUCUGAAGUGUGUGUGCAUGUAAAUAUUGGCACAUUUCUGAACACAAUUUACACCGAGCCAAAGAGAGUCACUAAUAUUUGUUAAAUUGCUUUUCUAAAGUGGGAAAAGUAGCAUCUUUUCCAAAGGGUGCUUUAUUCACACUAACUAAUUAAGUGAAUGAGCUUUCUGGUUUUAAUUAAGUGGAGUGUUUGUAUAUGUAUAUGCUUGUUUAUAUACUCAGCAGCAAUAAGGGUGAGAUUUUAAUAUAGAAAGGAAGAAAUAGCCACUAAGAAAGUUCAAGCCCAUUCAAGUAAAAAUCCUAACCUGAUAGUUUUAGGCAAUGCAAAGUUAAUGGACUGGUUUGAAUUCCAUAAAGUGGUACUUUUUUAUCAUCUGAAAUGGCUCAUGGAUCUCAUAUGAACAUACCUAAUAUUUCUGGAGCAUUAACUCUUCAGAGGUAUAAUCACACUGUGUAUCAAUAAAGAUAAAAUACGUGAUAAGUGAAAUUUUGCUUUCUGGCUGCUUUGGGAUUAUGUGGCUAAUGACCAUCAGGCAGACACUCAGGCAAUUACAAUGGGGAGAUUUCUUAGCUCUGAAAGCACAGGCAAGAUUCCAAAAUGUGCAAAACAAGCAGAGCAUAGAGUAGGGGCAAAGGUGAUAUAUUCAUGGAUGAGUGCAAGUUUUGGUUUUCAGGAGUUCAAGGAGCAAGUCUGUUCAGAAUAUUGUUAUAAAGCAGAUAGAGGACAAAAGCAUAAUUGAAAUAACCGGAAUGUACAUAGGCUAACUGCAUUGCUUUAUGUGGUGUGGUUCUGUGGAAAGAUUAUUAGACUUACAAGAGUGAGGACUCACAGUUCUGCCAGCAAAUAAGCUGAGUGGCUUCAGACAAGCCACUUUACUUAUCUCUGGGCCUCAGUUUUCCCGUUUAUGGAUUAAAGACAUUCACAGACAUUGGCUGAGUGCCCGCAAUGUGCCAGCUAUUGAGCUAAACUUGGGAUGCUAGAAAAGACAAUCCCUUUUCUGGAUUAGGAAGUUUACAUUUUAAAGAUGCAAGAAGGCACUAAACAAGGGCAGUGAGGUACAACAAGCUCUGUGGUUUUAUUUCUCCUAAAUGGGAGGAAACAUAGAGAGGAAGAAAAGUAUGCAAUCUCAGUUGCAAAUGGAGGCAGGGGCUCACCAUGUUCUCUGAUACGAUUGUACCGCCCAUUGGUAAGAAUCAGAGGCUGAAAAGAUUCUGUUACUGAAACUCAACACUUAGUUGAUACCUGCUACAACUUUAACUACUCGUUGACUGUUUACGGCUUUUGCUGUAAGUUGGAGUAUGGUGACAAACACACAAAAAAUUGUCAACCGCAGAUGUAGCCAUGAAGUAUUAUGAGCGAGUAAUAGCAAGGGCUUUGCUGUCCUCUCUCUCCACUGUUGUUUCAAACAAACACAAAAUCAACAGCAUAUGCAAUCUCAAUAAAAUAACAUAGAGAUGUGAUCUGUUGCUUUUUUUGAAAUGAGAUUAAGUCUGUCACAUCGUAAAUCUACCUGUGUAAUGUUUGAGCUUAACGUUUAACUUGAAAAAAAACCUGACAUUAGAGUAAAUAGUGUGAAGGAAUAAUUGAAUUCAGUUGAGGGUUAUAACUGUCUCUUUAAGUUUUAACUUUGGAAAAACAGGCCUCCUUGCAUAGGCUUCAAAUAUUUUGAAUAAAUAUUUGUCAUAGUGUGUCCGGAAUUGGUGGGUUCUUGGUCUCACUGACUUCAAGAAUGAAGCCACGAGCUCUCGCG
rnacentral:lncRNA from 1 species